rnacentral:lncRNA from 1 species
GGGGUCGUGGCGGGGUCUCCAGCAUUGUUCAGCUGUCACGUCCGUCAUCAGCAUCAGCUGUCGGCCUCUGAACCCGGGCCCGGGCCCGGACCUGGACUCAGAACCCUGCCUGCCCUGCUCUGCUCGGACACCGGGCUACGUGCUGUAUGCGGCACUCUCUGGCUCUGUGUGUGGUUCAGUUCUAAUGUUUUGUUGGCUUUCAUUACAUGCAUUCAUUCAUUCCUGCUGUUCGCUCACUCAAAUUGCCAUCAGUGGCAGUGGUCCUGUUUGCAUUUGACAAAUGACAAACUCCACGAGCCUUGACCCCUCCCGCUGCGGGGUUGGGGGUUACGUAGCUCCGGUCCAACUACUAAUG